rnacentral:rRNA from 1 species
UACAGAGGUCCCAAGCGUUGUUCGGAUUCACCGGGCGUAAAGGGUGCGUAGGCGGUCGGGUAAGUCUGAUGUGAAAUCUCACAGCUUAACUGUGAAACUGCAUUGGAUACUAUCCGGCUAGAGGAAUGGAGGGGAGACUGGAAUACUUGGUGUAGCAGUGAAAUGCGUAGAUAUCAAGUGGAACACCAGUGGCGAAGGCGAGUCUCUGGACAUUUCCUGACGCUGAGGCACGAAAGCCAGGGGAGCAAACGGG